rnacentral:lncRNA from 1 species
UCCAUUCCUCAUUGCUUUCUUUCUCAAGACAUUAUGGUUUAUUGUGUCUCCACUAGGUACCUUGCAUGUGAUUUACACAGUGAAUGGCCCUGCUUUCGGAGCAAGUUAAUGAUAUAAUAUCCCCAUUUAUAUUCAGAGCAGUCAACACUUUCCAGCUCUCAGAAUAAUAAAAGCACCUGCAUUUAAUAUACAUGGAAGAAUGGGAAGGCAAAUAGCAGAUAAGGCACAAUCAGGCACCUCCAGAUUUUAGUGAAAUCUGUUCGACAUUUCCGAGUCCCUGGGAUGGAUCAGAGGCAUUCAGAUUUCUGCAAGGAUGGCAGAGGAAAAAAAAAACCAAAAAAGUGUCUGUGUUGGAUUGCAGAAAACAGAAACCAACUCCAGCUAGCUUGCAUGAAAGUAAUUUAUUGAUGGGACAUUCGGGUCCUGAAACCUACAAGUUAAAAUAACCAGUCUUUGGAUGAGCCAGAGCCGGGCAACUCCAGGGCCCUCAGAAGAAGGAAGUUAUGGACUUCUUCUCUAGAAUGCUGACAUUCAUAUUUCUAAUUUUUAGUGACCUGUAUUGUCAGAUGAACCAGCUCUGGCCAGGAAGGUAGGGUCCAUGAUUGCUGGAGGCCCCUCCAUGGCAUCAGGCCAAUUCCCAAGGCAAGGGGAAUAGUAGGAGCUAAUAAAUUCGUAAGGCUUUAAUGAGGUGUAAUAGUCAUGU